UACGUAGGGUGCGAGCGUUAAUCGGAAUUACUGGGCGUAAAGCGUGCGCAGGCGGUUUUGUAAGCCAGAUGUGAAAGCCCCGGGCUUAACCUGGGAACUGCAUCUGUGACUGCAUCGCUGGAGUGCGGCAGAGGGGGAUGGAAUUCCGCGUGUAGCAGUGAAAUGCGUAGAGAUGCGGAGGAACACCGAUGGCGAAGGCAGCCCCCUGGGCUAACACUGACGCUCAGGCACGAAAGCGUGGGGAGCAAACAGG
rnacentral:rRNA from 1 species